rnacentral:rRNA from 1 species
UACGUAGGGUGCGAGCGUUAAUCGGAAUUACUGGGCGUAAAGCGUGCGCAGGCGGUUUCGUAAGACAGACGUGAAAUCCCCGGGCUCAACCUGGGAACUGCGUUUGUGACUGCGAGGCUAGAGUACGGCAGAGGGGGGUAGAAUUCCACGUGUAGCAGUGAAAUGCGUAGAGAUGUGGAGGAACACCGAUGGCGAAGGCAGCCCCCUGGGCCAAUACUGACGCUCAUGCACGAAAGCGUGGGUAGCAAACAGGAUUAGAAACCCCG